rnacentral:Y_RNA from 1 species
GGCUGGCCGCAAGGUAGUGGGUUAUCUCGAUUGAUUGUUCAUAGUCAGUUACAGAUGUGAUUCCUUUUCUAUUCCUUCCUUCUUUCUCCCUACUGCACUUGACUAGUCUUAA